GCCUGUAUGGCUCAGUUGGUUGGAGCAUCAUCCCAUGCACCAGACGGUCGUGGGUUCAAUUCCCACUCAGGGCA
rfam:Myotis brandtii contig215416, whole genome shotgun sequence.